rnacentral:rRNA from 1 species
UACGUAGGGUGCAAGCGUUGUCCGGACUUAUUGGGCGUAAAGAGCUCGUAGGCGGUUUGUUGCGUCGGCUGUGAAAUCCCGAGGCUCAACCUCGGGUCUGCAGUCGAUACGAGCAAACUAGAGUGUUGCAGGGGAGACUGGAAUUCCUGGUGUAGCGGUGAAAUGCGCAGAUAUCAGGAGGAACACCGGUGGCGAAGGCGGGUCUCUGGGCCGUAACUGACGCUGAGGAGCGAAAGCAUGGGGAGCGAACAGG